AUUGAACGCUGGCGGCAGGCCUAACACAUGCAAGUCGAGCGGAUGAAGGGAGCUUGCUCCUGGAUUCAGCGGCGGACGGGUGAGUAAUGCCUAGGAAUCUGCCUGGUAGUGGGGGAUAACGUCCGGAAACGGGCGCUAAUACCGCAUACGUCCUGAGGGAGAAAGUGGGGGAUCUUCGGACCUCACGCUAUCAGAUGAGCCUAGGUCGGAUUAGCUAGUUGGUGGGGUAAAGGCCUACCAAGGCGACGAUCCGUAACUGGUCUGAGAGGAUGAUCAGUCACACUGGAACUGAGACACGGUCCAGACUCCUAUGGGAGGCAGCAGUGGGGAAUAUUGGACAAUGGGCGAAAGCCUGAUCCAGCCAUGCCGCGUGUGUGAAGAAGGUCUUCGGAUUGUAAAGCACUUUAAGUUGGGAGGAAGGGCAGUAAGUUAAUACCUUGCUGUUUUGACGUUACCAACAGAAUAAGCACCGGCUAACUUCGU
rnacentral:rRNA from 1 species